rnacentral:rRNA from 1 species
UACGGAGGGUGCAAGCGUUAUCCGGAUUCACUGGGUUUAAAGGGUGCGCAGGCGGAUAUGUAAGUCAGUGAUGAAAUCUCUAGGCUUAACCUGGAAAUUGCCGUUGAUACUAUAUAUCUUGAAUGCUGUGGAGGUAAGCGGAAUAUGUCAUGUAGCGGUGAAAUGCUUAGAUAUGACAUAGAACACCUAUUGCGAAGGCAGCUUACUACGCAGAUAUUGACGCUCAUGCACGAAAGCGUGGGGAUCAAACAGG